AGUCUAGCAAUAGUAUAUAUUCAGCUUUUUUAGAGGACAAUAAAUUGCUUGGAAAACAUUUACAUAGACCCACACACACCACCAGGAUUGAUGAAAUAGAAAUGUAGUUGCAUUUUUCGUUGUGCUGUGUUGCAUUUUGUGGCAUUCGAAGAAUCUCCUAGCACAUGGUCCGGUAUCCAGCUAUGUCUUUCAAGGGUGCAUCUAGCUAGAAGGAAGUUACAAGCUACAUGAAGAGGGUGUACCCAGUCUUUGUAGAGUGCUGUAUGAAGACCUGAUCUGCCACUUGCACAACCCUGGAUUUUCAGGAUCUUGAGAUGUGUGGUCUGCUGACAAGAGCAUCACAGGCAGGAAGUGGCAUGCCUCACCCGGCAUGUGCUCAAGUGGAGGACUCAGACUGUUUAAAGGACGGAUGAAAAAACAAAGGGCGCUUAUCUCAACAUGGCACCCCACCUAAAAAGCUACAUGUGUCAAGUGCCCAGUCUUUCUAGGGUCCUGUAUGAAGACUUGCCCUGGAUUUCCAGCUGUGCUUCCAGAUCCAUGAUCUGAGAUGGGAUGCUUUGAUAUGGAGGCACUACUUGUGACUGUGGUCUGCUGACAAGAGCAUCACAGGCUGGAAGUGGCAUGCCUCACCCGGCAUGUGCUCAAGUGGAGGACUCGGACUGUUUGAAAGACGGGUGAAAAAACAAAGGGCACCUAUCACUCAACAUGGGGCCCCCAACCCCACCUAAAAAGCUACAUGUGUCAAGUGCACCUAGUCUUUGUAGGGUCCUGUGUUAAGACUUUACCUGCCACUUGUUUUGAACUGCUUCAGGAUCUAUGAUUACCAUCUGAGAUGGGAUGCUCAAAUAUGGAGGCCUUAUUUGUGACUGUGGUCUGCUGACGAGAGCAUCACAGGCUGGAAGUGGUAUGCCGCACCUGGCAUGUGCUCAAGCAAAGGACUCAGACUGUUUGAAGGACAGGGGUGAAAAAACCAACCCCACCUAAAAAGCUACAUGUGUGAAGUAUGACCAUAGUUUUCAACCUCAAUGAAAAUGACACCUAGGCAAUCCCAUCUUAAAAUGACAAGCCCUCAGAUAAAAGAAUUGGUGAACUAUAAUGCUUUACAUUUUUAACUUUCUGCAAACAAACGUCUUUAGCUGAACAUGAAGAACCUCCACGUUGGGUUAUUGGUAGGUCAGAUCUGGAGGAUGGUCUGGUGGACAUUUUUUAAAUUCUGACUGCUAAAUGUACCAUUUUUGUGUAGUUCGAUACAGCAAGGCUAAAGAGAGCCUAUGACUGGGUGAGGAUAUUGAAAUAAACACUAAAUGGUUUUCAUAGUUUUAAUUCCAUUUACUUUGCUCUUGCCAAAUGAUCAGAAACAGGAUGGGUAUUAUUGGUACUCUUUGCCCAUGAAUGGGAGGGUAAUUUGUUUUUGUCUGUGUGCACUACUGGUCCAAUUUUAUUUUGGACUUUCAAACAAGGUACGGUUCACCUUCUCAGUCCUCCUACAUGAUUGUUGAUGCAGAUUUUGGAAUUUUGGUUUCACUUUCUACACCAUGGGGGGUCGGGAUCUGCUGUGACCUGACUGCACUUGUUACUUGACUCUGAAUCUGCCCUGGCCUAAAGUGGCCAUUGGGAAAAAUGAAAACAUGGACAGUGCAGAUGAGAUGUCAAAAACCCAGCUAGAUAUUUGCUUAUGCCUAUCUGCCCCUUGCAAAAACUUCUUAAAAAGUAUUUGGUACCCUAAAAUGUCAUGGUAGCCUCUUUGGGAAAACCUUCCCUAUGGCCACAUGGUAAGGAAGACUGUAGUGCACUGAGCCUCGUCUUAUUGGGAUUUUCUUUCCACUGCAAGGGCACUUGAUUGUGUCACAGUGCUAUCCAACAUGGCACUUUUAUUUACUUUUUCCCCAACUGACUGACUAGACUGCUGUGACAUUAAGCCAAAUUACCUGGUCACCAUAAUGUUAAAGCUAAGGUGUUUUAAAAUUGUAAUGGGCCUGGACUAAAUGUUCCUUUUUCUCCUCAGGUGUACCCAGUCUUUGUAGGGUCCUGUAUGAAGACUUGAUCUGCCACUUGCAAAUCUGUGGAUUUCAAGAUGUGCUUUGAAUUGCUUCAGGAUCUAUGAUUACCGUCUGAGAUGGGAUGCUCAGAUAUGGAGGCCUUAUUUGUGACGGUGCUCUGCUGACAAGAGCAUCACAGGCUGCAAAGGGCUGUGGUCUGGAUUGGGGUAUCUGGAUACCAGUCUUUGUGUGGUGGCCAGAUGACCUGGAGUAAUUUUCAUCUAAGAUUUUCUACAAGUCGUCAAGUUAUUUUUUGAAUGUGUCUGCUUGGAUUCAUGUGUGCUAGAUUGUAUACAAAUGGACAAUUGUGUUUGGUUACUGACAUUUUCAGAACUAUAGCCAUAUCAAUCUUCGUUGCUUUUAUUGCAUGCUUUGGAUAACAUGAUUAAAUUAUAAAAAUAAUAAAUGUUUGAAAAAA